rnacentral:lncRNA from 1 species
AUGGGCAGCUUGGCCCCAAUGAGCUUCAGAAAAUGUGGAGCCAAAUCCCAUGUGCUGGGAGGAAAAGCAGCUGGAAGCAGUAAAACAGGAAAGAAAAUCUCCAGGCUGGAUCACAGCACCCCACCCCUCCUCAUCCUCUCUCCAGAUGUUGCACGGACGUGUGCGAGCAGCGCUGCCUCGCUGGGAGGUGCUGAGAAGAGGGUGAUGCGCCGGGGUGACAUGCUCAAUUUCCCUCCAAGAUGGUGCAGCCACGAGAACAUUUCUCCUGCUGAUGGCGUCCAUGUGUCUCUCCCUUCUCACUGGAGCUCUGUUACACGCCAGGACGUGGUGCGAGCGUGUGUGCACCUUCUGUUCCCCGAGCCGUCCCUGCCUUUCUGGGGAGGACGAGGUGCCUGCCCUUCCGUGGUUAGUUUAAGAAAAACACUCUGCCAGUGAUCAGCGCCUGUAUGAAGUAGAUGUAUGGUUUCAAUUCUGUCCUUGAGCCAUGGAUCAUUUAAUGUUGUCAACACAUAUACAUCCUUCUCAAACAUCCCACUGAGAAUUUCUAGGGACUGUAGACAGCUUAAAGCUAGCGUUACAGCAGCAGCUUCAUAUUUGCUUUCAGAUCUACGUGCAUUUUUUAAUACUAAAGCUUGCAUAAUUGCUGCUGAAUUUCUAAGCAACUUCUUCAAAGGGACGGAGGCGCGGCAGCGGCAGGAGCGCUGGCAGAGCAGGGACAGGGCUGGGGCCUGUUGGUGGCUCGUGGCUGGCAGCAGGAGGAGCUGAGCACGUUGGGGGAGCCCCAAAGAAAGGCCAGGUCAGGACCCCCCACCUCGGUUGAGCGUGUUAUCGUCCUGACCAUGGGUGGCUGGGAUUUAGUGCUGCCUACGUGCGUUAACAGCAUUUUAGCUGUGCACGUUAUCUCACCAGGGAAGUUUUAACAGUGGGAAUAGGGCACCACUGGGCUUGUUUUCCAGGAUCUGGAUGUGCCCAGAAGCACAGCGAGAUGCCACAUGCAGCGGAGGUGACCUGGCGGGUGAAGGGUUACUGGCUGCUGCCCACUGUAGGGCUGAUGGGUUAUAAAAAGGGAGAUGAAGUGGUUCCUCAGAGGGGUCUCUGAUCUUUUCCUGAUGGUGGGGACAGAGUUACAGCUGGAUGAGGGGUUACUGGCUUCUGCUUUUGGGUUCUGUGGGGGAACAAACCCAGCAGGACAGGACGGAGCAGGGGUAUUUCACCAGGGGAGGCUGCAGGCUCUCCCUGGUCUCUGCUGAUGGAGCUGUGGGAGGUGUGCUGCUGCUCCACAGUCAUGCCCCAAGCUCUGGUUGCGAUGCCCAUCCCCACAGUGGUCAGUGUGCCCUGGGAAAGGAGCAGGGACCCCCCCCCGGGGAGCAAGUCACCCUCCUCUUCAUCAGCUGCCAGCUGAUUAUGGGUGUUGGGCAGAGAUGUGGACAGGAGGUGGUGAUGGUGGUGAUUGCUGCUGGGCUGUGGGACCAGCAGGCUGAGGGUUUGCUGGAGAACCUGCAGCAGCUGCUGGCUCCCUAGAGGUGCUGGUGAAGCCAGGUUCCCAAAGCCUUCUUGUGCCUUUGGGAACAUGGAGGAGCUGAGGGUGACGAUUGCUCCUGGGAACUUUGCUGCAGGCAGGUGGGGGCAGCUCCACCUCUCCCCUAAGAAAGGGCAAUUCUGGGGCUGACACCAACCCCAGGCAUCCCCCUGUACUGAGGGGGAUGUCCCCUCUCCAUCCUCUGGCUGUCGCAGCAGCAUCACUUCUAAGGCACCUGGUCAGCCAAACUCCAUUUGCUGUGUCUAUGUAUUUAUUAUGUUGGAGCCCAGCGUAAUUACUUUACAGCUCUGAACAUUAAAUAUCAUUUGUCUUAUUCCAGCAGGUCCAAAUCUUUAUGAAUUGUAUCUGACGCUUGCUCCCUUCAAUUAUCUGCCAUCAGAAAAAGUUUACUGUUGUUGCAAAAAUACCAAUUUGCCAGAGGUUGCAAUGCAUUUACUCUCCACCUCUGUAAUUUACAAACUUACAUUUUAUGAUUAGAAAGAAAAAUGGCUAAUAGAAGAAAUAGUCAUGCAAAAUCAAUACUGAAUAAGAUGCUGCCACCUUUUGGCUUAACCUAAUUCUACAUCUGGGGCCAAAUUCAUCCCUGGUGUUGCUGGGUGAGGAGCUACUGCUGGUACUGGCUCCCUCUGACCAUGGAUGGGGCAGGUGGAGCUGGUGCUGGGGGAUUUGCAGGCUCUAGAGUGAGGAAAUUUCCCAUGGCUGUGCUUCUGCAAGUGAAGUUCCCUUCUUGCAUGUGCAGAGCCAGACUAGAGGUUCCUAGGAGGAUUUGCUCUCCUUUUGACCUCCUGGGAGGCUGCUCCUGGAGCUGCAUCCUGGGUACAGGGACAGGCACUGGGGCUGGUGAGACUCAGCAUGUGGCUGAGGGUGUCAAACCCAGCUUUGAACCUGGUGGAUGCUUCAUCUGAGCUUGUAGGCAGCCUCCACACCACCGGUCUGCAGUACACUUACACAGCAGGCAACGCAGUGGGACUCAAACACUGUCAGUCUUGGUAGCUAUUGGAUGUGUUUCUUCUUCAGUUCCAGCUCACUGCAAUGGGCUGUGGAGCCCAAAUACCAGUGUGCUUAAAAAUAAAUAAAUAAAUAAAACUAAAAACCUACCCCCC